GUUGAAACACUGGUUCCUGUAUGAUCACUGAAGUUAAGCAACAUUGAGCCUGGUCAGUACUUAGAUGGGUAACUGCUUGGAAAUACCUGAUGCUGUAAG